rnacentral:rRNA from 1 species
AUUGAACGCUGGCGGCAUGCCUUACACAUGCAAGUCGAACGGUAACAGGGAGCUUGCUCCGCUGACGAGUGGCGAACGGGUGAGCAAUGUAUCGGAACGUACCUUUCAGUGGGGGAUAACGUAGCGAAAGUUACGCUAAUACCGCAUAUUCUCUGAGGAGGAAAGCAGGGGACCUUCGGGCCUUGCGCUGAUUGAGCGGCUGAUAUCAGAUUAGCUAGUUGGUGAGGUAAAGGCUCACCAAGGCGACGAUCUGUAGCGGGUCUGAGAGGAUGAUCCGCCACACUGGAACUGAGACACGGUCCAGACUCCUACGGGAGGCAGCAGUGGGGAAUUUUGGACAAUGGGGGCAACCCUGAUCCAGCCAUGCCGCGUGAGUGAAGAAGGCCUUCGGGUUGUAAAGCUCUUUCGGCCGGGAAAAAAUCGCAUGGGCUAAUACCCUGUGUGGAUGAUGGUACCGGAAUAAGAAGCACCGGCUAACUACGUGCCAGCAGCCGCAGUAA